GUGAAACACGGGGACGGGUCGUACACGGUGUACGCGAGCUCGGGGCAGAUUAGAUGUUUUGAGUGUGGAGACGUGGGUCACAAACGCUUCACGUGUCCGCAUAAGGAGCAGCAAAGUGCGGAAGCCCUGGCCGUGGACGCGGCUGACUGGUCAGAGGACACUCCUCAGCCCUGAAGAUGAGGAUUCCCUGGUGGAGUACUGCUUGUACUCUGCAGGUUAUGGGUUUCCACUGACGAUGCCUCCGGUCCUGGCCCACGCUCUGGCCAUUUAUAAUCACCGCCAUCAAGCCUCACCCAGGACCGUGCUUGCCCUUCACCCCAACAUCCCCUUUCCCCAGCCUGCCUGCUGAGGAACACUGCCACCUUCUCCCGUCUCCUGAGCCUUCCACAUCGGCAGCGGGAUGUGACCAAAGGCCUUCCUCUCCCUCUCACUCGUUCCAACCUGCAGAGACCAGACCAUCAUCAUCCAGCUCCUCGUCUGCUGGACCCACGACAUCCACCGGU